rnacentral:rRNA from 1 species
AGUGAACGCUGGCGGUAGGCCUAACACAUGCAAGUCGAACGGCAUCAUCGUAAGAGCUUGCUCUUACGGGUGUCGCGUGGCGGACGGGUGAUGUAUACAUCGGAUUCCACUUUUUCGUUUGUGCUAACGUCGGGAAUCUUACUCUAAUACCGCAUACGACCUCCUUGUGAAAGCACGCGAUCUUCGGACCUUUCGCUAUUGUAUGAGCCAAUGUCGGAUUAGCUAGUUGGCGGGGUAAAGGCACACCAAGGCGACGAUCCGUAGCUGGUCUGAGAGGAUGAAUCGCCAGACUGGAAGAGAGAAACAGCACAGACACUGACAGGAGGAAGCAGUGGGGAAUAUUGGGCGAUGGGGGAAAGGCUGAUCCAGCCAUACCGCGGGAGGGAAGAAGGCGUUAGGGUUGUAAAGCGCUUUUGUUGGGAAAGAAAAGCAGCAGGUUAAUACCCCGCUGUUAUGACGGUACCCAAAGAAUAAGCACCGGCUAACUUCGUG